GACGAACCGUGCGAACGUUGUUCGGAAUCACUGGGCUUAAAGGGCGCGUAGGCGGGUAGCCAAGUCUGGGGUGAAAUCUUUCGGCUUAACCGGAAAAUAGCCUUGGAUACUGGCUGUCUCGAGUGAGGUAGGGGGAUGUGGAACUUCCGGUGGAGCGGUGAAAUGCGUUGAUAUCGGAAGGAACGCCGAUGGCGAAGGCGACGUGCUGGACCUCUUCUGACGCUGAUGCGCGAAAGCUUGGGGAGCAAACGGG
rnacentral:rRNA from 1 species